UACAGAGGGGGCAAGCGUUGUUCGAAAUUACUGGGCGUAAAGGGCGCGUAGGCGGCCUGCUAAGUCGAACGUGAAAUCCCUGGGCUCAACCCAGGAACUGCGUCCGAUACUGGUUGGCUUGAAUCCGGGAGAGGGAUGUGGAAUUCCAGGUGUAGCGGUGAAAUGCGUAGAUAUCUGGAGGAACACCGGUGGCGAAGGCGACAUCCUGGACCGGCAUUGACGCUGAGGCGCGAAAGCCAGGGGAGCAAACGGG
rnacentral:rRNA from 1 species